rnacentral:lncRNA from 1 species
GGAAAGAAUUUGCACAUUCAGAAGUCAACUCAAAUGAAAAGGAAUAUGGCACAUUACUAAGCACAACAUGCUCUGUUCUCAAUCCCAUGACCACUUACACAGAAGUCUAUAUUAUCAUACAAAUAUAUGGAAAAAGUUACACUACAAAGAUUCUUCAUUGGACAGGAGCUGAAAGCAGAUGCCUAAGGGAGAAGGAUACCUUUAUGACAGUACUCUCCCAGUCUUGGUCAACUGAAAGCUCAGAGGCAGCAGAAUGUCAUUUGUUCACGAUGAUGAUGAUCAAGACAGAGAGGAUAAUCUGGCCAUUCUCCAAACCGUAUAAUGGUGCCAU